CGCUCUGCCCUGCCGGGGGAACACUUACUGCAUUAUUACACAGGGGGAGGGGAGGAGAGCAGAACAAACACCGUUUUCAAUAAAUUAGCAUCUUAAGCGGACACUAGCAGAGCCAACCCCGAAGGAAUCUGUGGUAAGAACCAAACCGCAACUACAGGGCUGCAGGCUGGCUCGUGGACUGCUGUACCAGCUCAUCGGCAGAGAGAGCCUUUUGCAUGGUGGAUCUGUCCUCUCAGCAGCACAGGUGAAGACCCCUGAGACCUUGAGCCUCACCAGGUAUCGCCAGGCGCCAUGGCAGAGAUUUUUUGAGGCACACGAAGCCAGCCGUACAACGGAUACAUUAAGUGGAUUCCUUCCAGGCGCUAUGAAUUACCUGCUGACGGUAGUCUCCCUAAAUCAGUCAUGAGACGGUCAGGUCCACGAGCAACCUGCAAGUGUGAGGCCAUCUUCAGACUCUGUAAGAGGCAUUUGUGCUAAAAGGUAGACAGCAGGAGCCUCCCCGGGAGUUGCCUGAGUGUGGACAGACGUUCUGGUUUCACGGAGCAAUAUAUGAUCACUGUCCUACCAGGAACAGGCAGGACAGGGUCCGAGUAGGACUGGAUUCGGGAGUCAUUCCUAUGUUUGUGAGAUUUAUUGGAUGUUCAAGGUGAAUCACCAGGGACUAUUCUGGAUCUGUCACUAACCGUGUAAUUUUGGUCACAUUUUCUGAAUACCCUCUGCCUCCACUCCAUCUUUAAACCAACAAGCAGGAACAGCGUAUCUCCAGACUUAAUCACCCUGUGACUCUCUAACCCCAUGUGUUUCACCGAAACAGAAGUCAAGCCCUUUUAACUCACCCCAUGACAUCAUGUUCUGCUAUCUUUAGACUCCAUAGGUCCCCGCUUUUCUUCUGGGGUGUCACAUAGCGUAACAAGCGGGCGACUGAUAUGCUGAGUUGGGAGUGUCACCUGCCUGCCGAGGAUACUCGUAGACUUUGCUCACAUUGUAUUUUCCAGAAGUGA